rnacentral:rRNA from 1 species
GACGAACGCUGGCGGCGUGCUUAACACAUGCAAGUCGAACGGAAAGGCCCUGCUUUUUUUGGGUGCUCUAGUGGCGAACGGAUGAGUAACACGUGAGUAACCUGCCCUUGCCUUUGGGAUAACUUCAGGAAACUAGGGCUUAUACAGUAUAGGAUCUCCUGCUUCAUGGUGGGGGUUGGAAAGUUUCGGCGGUUGGGGAUGGACUCGCGGCUUAUCAGCUUGUUGGUGGGGUAGUGGCUUACCAAGGCUUUGACGGGUAGCCGGCCUGAGAGGGUGACCGGCCACAUUGGGACUGAGAUAGGGGCCAGAAGGCUACGGGAGGCAGCAGUGGGGAAUAUUGUAAAAUGGGCGGAAGGCGGAUGGAGCAACGGCGCGUGGGGGAUGACGGCCUUCGGGUAGUAAACCGCUUUCGCCUGUGACGAAGGGGGAGUGACGGUAAUGGGUAAAGAAGCACCGGCUAACUACGUG